rnacentral:rRNA from 1 species
CCUACGGGCGGCAGCAGUGGGGAAUAUUGCACAAUGGGGGAAACCCUGAUGCAGCGACGCCGCGUGAGGGAAGAAGGAUUUCGGUAUGUAAAGCUCUAUCAGCAGGGAAGAAAAUGACGGUACCUGACUAAUAAGCCCCGGCUAACUACGUGCCAGCAGCCGCGGUAAUACGUAGGGGGCAAGCGUUAUCCGGAUUUACUGGGUGUAAAGGGAGCGUAGGCGGCAGUGCAAGUCAGAAGUGAAAUCCCGUGGCUUAACUAUGGAACUGCUUUUGAAACUGUGCAGCUGGAGUGCAGGAGAGGUAAGCGGAAUUCUUAGUGUAGCGGUGAAAUGCGUAGAUAUUAGGAGGAACACCAGUGGCGAAGGCGGCUUACUGGAAUGUAACUGACGUUGAGGCUCGAAAGCGUGGGGAGCAAACAGGAUUAGAUACCCGAGUAGUC